GUCGGAUCUGUGCAGGAGCUGCAUAAUAAUCUGAUGAACGCAGAAACGUGGAGCCGUUAAAUUAAAAGCACUGGAGCAGAUUCUCCUUAUCUGGCAGAGAUACGUGGUCGGCUCGAUAUCCGUGCACCUCUUUUCCAAGACAAGAUGGAUGGAGGACGGAGCUGUGACUUCAUUUUAGUUAUUAAGAGUGUACUUAGAAUAUAAAUAUUAU